AAUCUAAUUCUAAAAAAAACUCAAGCCCACUCGUCUCUCCCAGACCCACAAAUUUCUAAUUGGAGUUACUCCUCCACCCUCUGUAUUUUCCUGUAUUCAUACUCUCGCAGUCUUGCUCUCUUCAUAAUUUUUUAACCUCUAUUUUCUCUUUCGUUCCUCCAUUGUCAUGGCUCAACCCUUUCAUCUCAAUACCGCAACUCAGAUGCUCCCCAAUUCGAUUAAUAUACAAACGAUCCAGGCAUGCUGUUGAGUUAAUCGACAAUAAACUAUGGAAUGAAUGUAAAUUCUGCAGCCUCUUGUUCAAGCUUCCAAGGAACUCUUCAACUCGUGAGAUCAUGUUAGACGCUUGGUAUAUGAAAGCAUUAAGUAAUGACUGCAACAGGAACCUUGUGCGCGAAGUCCUUAAUUUAACCUUUUAUUGAGCGCAUAUAUGGAGUUGAUCUAUGGCUUCUAACUCAAGGAAUUUGCCUGAAGGUCCUUUUCGUGGUCCAAGAGAGGCGUGCAACCAGGAAAGGUUAAGGUUCAUAUUCCAUCAUCAUUGGGAGCUGUUGUGGGUGUGCAUGCAAACCAAUUUGUGGGUGAAUGUGUUGAUUGAGUGAAGGACAUAUGCCCUCUUAAUGUUGAAAGAUGAGAUGAUAUCCCUCAAGAGGCAUUAAAUCAGCUGUAUAGUAGGAUUAAGGCAAAGUAUGACUUUGGUGAAGGUCCACACAAUUUCGGAAGUAAUACACACUCAAUGCUCUACCCUUUAUAGGCAUUGGAGAGAAAGAUUGAAGGCUGGCCAUUUUUCAAACUCCUCUUAUUUGUUUAGUUAUUUAUGUACUGUAUUUUUCUAGUUUGAAUACCGAUGUUUUACUUUUCCUAGGAACUUGAGGCAGAAGCUGGAGAAAGCGGGAGUGAUCUACAUGAAGAUGAGCAGGAGGUCAAUGAACUGGAGGCUAAGAAGAAACAACAAGAGUUAGAACAGAAACUUCGGUUAGUCAUGGACAAGAUUAGGUUGACAUAAAGAAUAACAGGACAGCAGGACUUAUAGUUCUCCAACCCUACAACUUUCACCAGUUGAGAGUUUCCAAUUAAGUAUGGAAUAUUGACAAGUUUGUUAUGCAUCAGAUCAUGCAUGCUAUGAGUAUGUGGAUGAGCAUGGCCAAGAACUUUAUUUGACACCAGCACUCUCGAAGACCUAACGGGAUAUUUUAUAAACAAAAUGGUGGUUGGUUGGCUUAUAAACAAAAUGGUGGUUGGGUGGCUUGUUGUCUCUAAUCUUAGCCUUAGUUGCAUAACUAGGCUGUUGUGUUUGUGUGUUUUGCUGCUCUCGAUGCUCUGUUGUUGUUCUGAUUCUUGUUACAGUUUAUUCCAGUGCAUUGCUGCUGUUUUUCUUAAA